UGUAACCCUGCCUUGCACCAGUGCUUGAGGUGCGCACUAGCGCACUAGUGAACGUAAACAGGAAGACACUAGGAGAGAGAUAAUAACAUUGCAUCAGGGAUUGUGAAGAGUCUGAAUGUUUGGAAACUAAGAAGCCAGCUUUUGGUGCUGCCUGAAGGUUGUAGAAGGGACCUGGAGCGAAGCGGGGAAGGCUGUCGUUGGUCCACAUUCGGGUUGCUGUCUAAAGGACUGGUAAAUUAGUAGAAAGACUCUGAGGAAGCUGAAGGAUGCUAUGUGUUUGUCCUAGUGAAUAAACACCUGUAUUUAUUUCCUGUUACACUGUGUUGAGUUGCAUGCCUAUUCGUUGAGUGCCUAACCUAGAGUUACAACAAUUGGUAUCAGAAGUGGGAUUUAGGCAGCUCAACGAAAGGAAACAAUGACAACGCUGAGGAAGCUAGAUGAACUAAGCUGUAAACAGUUAAAAGAGGAGCUCCGAGCCAGGGAGCUGAGGAUCUUCUGUGCCAAAGAAAAAAUGAGAGAACGCCUUCGACAAGCCUUGCUGGACGAAGAUGAAGAUCCGGACUCGUACCUGUUCGAAGUACAACCAGAUAUCAGAGAGCUCAUGAAUACCGUGACAGAUCAGAUGAACUCGUUCCAGGUACAGCUAAAAGAGGUCAACGAGCAGAUCUGUACCAUGAUUAAACAGAUAGGUAUCAGUACCUCGCUGAACAAGACUGAUGAUACGUUUGAUACCGUGAUGAGCAAGACCGACGAUCAGAUGGCUACCAUGUCGACAGGUAUAAACAAUCCGUUACUCAACGGAGACACCGUUGAUGGAAGCUCUGUCUAUGACUGUAAUAGCGAGCCGUGCAAGCUUGGCUCCUACGACAAGAAUCCUAACAUUUGUUGUGAAAGCGCUGAGAAUAGAUCUGAUCAUGUCAUCGUGAUUCCUGCCUGCACUCAGACGUUCAAUAAGAACUGUGCUGACGGGACCGCCUCAAAGGGAGAAUACGAGCACCGGAAGACCUGCCAACUAAGUAUUUGUCCUGAUACCAGUAUCAGCAAAAGAAGCGCUGAUGGUGGUACAGCAGAUGGACACAUAGGACGUUGUAAACGUGCCCCACAGAUAUGUCUUUCAGACAAGCUUAAAGAUUAUACCGUGUUUGACAACGUGGCCUCCUGGGGGCCCACGACACAUCGAGAAAGCCUGCUGGAGCAACGUGUAAGACAAAUGGUCUUGAUGACCUACGCUAUGACAUCCACUGCAUCGCUUCUUGCCAUGAGUCUGCCGUCGGUGGUAACUAAGAGAAAGGCCAGACAACGGAAACGACUUCCCCCCCUUAACCAAAGGCAGGUCAAUUGGAGCAGAAGGAGAAAGCGGCACCUGCAGAGAGCAGUGUGGAUUGCUUUGUGGGGAGCACGAUCAAUGCAAUCUGUGACUCCCACUGACCGACCUCCACCUGCACUGGCCAACCGUGAACAUGUUUCUUUUCGGGACGAAAAGACUAAGGUGGGGGUAGUGUUGUAACCCUGCCUUGCACCAGUGCUUGAGGUGCGCACUAGCGCACUAGUGAACGUAAACAGGAAGACACUAGGAGAGAGAUAAUAACAUUGCAUCAGGGAUUGUGAAGAGUCUGAAUGUUUGGAAACUAAGAAGCCAGCUUUUGGUGCUGCCUGAAGGUUGUAGAAGGGACCUGGAGCGAAGCGGGGAAGGCUGUCGUUGGUCCACAUUCGGGUUGCUGUCUAAAGGACUGUUGAGAUCGUCGGACUGGAAGAAAGUUUCACUGGACUCUACGUCCAACCUCGCCAAGUUGGCUGUCACUUAAACGCAACUCGCAUCGUGGGCGUCUUCACUGCAUCAAGCCCCGAUCUACAGACACGCCACUGCUUUGGUGUUGUUCACUCUACGGUAACUCACACUAGUAAAGACAAACAGAAUCGAGCUUCUUUCUAUUGGACAGCCCCUGUAACACCUUCGGGUCACGUAGUCAUCAGAUACUACAUGUGAAUGUUCAUGUUUAGGCAAAUACCGGUAUAUCUCAAGCUCACAUAAACACAUUCCCACACAUAUAAAUAUGAGCUCACGCACAAAUAAACACAGAUACGAUGACAAAACUCGCUAUGCUUAAAUAAAUAAGAAUAUAAGAACUUAAAAAUGUUUACAUUUUAAUUAAAUUGCUUCAAUAACAUCAAAGAUCUCUAUAAAUACUUUUGGUCUUCCAGAGCAACAUUGGUCAAAGAUUUCCAACAUUUCUGGACGGAAGUUGAGUCAGCUCCUAUAAUUGACCUUCACAAUAAAGACAUGCCAGCUUGCGUAAGCCACGAGCAUAAAGAUGGCUUCAACUUUGAUCACAACGCUGGGAAUGUGAGCUUUCAGGCUAAGAAGUCCAAGAUACAGAUGAUCAACUCAGGCUUUCAAAACAUUGCAAGCAUCUGUUUUUUUCUAGCUUUUCUACAAAUGAGUUUAGUUUUAGUCAGGAAAAUAACUGUAUACAUUUAGGGAAAAAAAAUAACAAAGUAAACUUAUCUAAUAUAUUUUUU